rnacentral:rRNA from 1 species
AGUGAACGCUGGCGGUAGGCCUAACACAUGCAAGUCGAACGGCAGCACAGUAAGAGCUUGCUCUUACGGGUGGCGAGUGGCGGACGGGUGAGGAAUACAUCGGAAUCUACUUUUUCGUGGGGGAUAACGUAGGGAAACUUACGCUACUACCGCAUACGACCUACGGGUGAAAGCAGAGGAUCUUCGGACCUUGCGCGAUUGAAUGAGCCGAUGUCGGAUUAGCUUGUUGGCGGGGUAAAGGCCCACCAAGGCGACGAUCCGUAGCUGGUCUGAGAGGAUGAUCAGCCACACUGGAACUGAGACACGGUCCAGACUCCUACGGGAGGCAGCAGUGGGGAAUAUUGGACAAUGGGCGCAAGCCUGAUCCAGCCAUACCGCGUGGGUGAAGAAGGCCUUCGGGUUGUAAAGCCCUUUUGUUGGGAAAGAAAAGCAGCAGGUUAAUACCCCGCUGUUCUGACGGUACCCAAAGAAUAAGCACCGGCUAACUUCGUG